UGGCGCAAGGGCGAGGAAUAAAUAGGUAACGUACCCUGUACUUCAGAAUAGCGUCCCGAAAGGGGCGGUAAUACUGGAUGAUGUCAUUUUCCAUAAGGAUAAUGAUCAAAGAUUUAUCGGUAUAGGAGCGGCCUAUUUCCCAUCAGCUUGUUGGUAAGGUAACGGCUUACCAAGGCAACGACGGGUAUCGGGACUGAGAGGUUGACCCGACGCAUCGGAACUGAGACACUGUCCGGACCUCCACGGAGGGCUGCAGUAACGAAUAUUGCACAAUGGGCGAAAGCCUGAUGCAGCAACGCCGCGUGUAGGAUGAAGCUCCUCGGAGUGUAAACUACUGUCAGGGGUCAGAAAGUGCGCUUCGGCGUAUUGAUCAGCCCCAGAGGAAGUCACGGCUAACUUCGUGCCAGCAGCCGCGGUAAUACGAAGGUGGCAAGCGUUGUUCGGAAUUAUUGGGCUUAAAGCGCAAGUAGGCGGAUAUGCAAGUGUUUUGUGAAAUCCCCCGGCUAAACCGGGGAAUCGCUUGGCAAACUGCAUAUCUUGAGUCAAGUAGGGGUACAUGGAACUCUUAGUGGAGCGGUGGAAUGCGUAGAUAUUAAGAGGAACGCCAAUGGUGAAGACAGUGUACUGGGCUUGUACUGACGCUGAGGUGCGAAAGCGUGGGGAGCGAACGGGAUUAGAUACCCCGGUAGUCCACGCUGUAAACGAUGUCUACUAGGUUGUGGAGGUUCUGACACUUUCACGAUCGAAGCAAAAGUGUUAAGUAGACCGCCUGGGGAGUACGGUCGCAAGGCUAAAACUCAAAGGAAUUGACGGGGGCUCACACAAGCGGUGGAGCAUGUGGAUUAAUUCGAAGCAACGCGCAGAACCUUACCUGGGUUUGACAUGUAUGGGUGCCUAUCUGGAAACAGAGUCGGCUGCCCUCGGGUGAAACUUACACAGGUGCUGCAUGGCUGUCGUCAGCUCGUGUCGUGAGAUGUCGGGUUAAG
rnacentral:rRNA from 1 species